GACUUAUAAUAUUUUUCUGGACUAUGCUGGACUAUUGAACUAUUUUGUUAUUUUUAUUUUUGUAGAGUUAGCCGGAGAGAGAGGAAGUGUUAGCUUACUCAGGCAUGGAUGUGCUAUGUGUGUCAUUGAUGUAUGUUGAGUGUACCAAGGAUGGAUUCCAAUGUAUUAAGUGUGGAUAUGACUGGACUAUCGAAAUAGGGAUUUGAUUAGGAGGCAUAGGACGCAAGGUCAUGAUUGGGAUUAUUGCUAGAAUUGCAAACUGAUUAGAAAUGAUCUUAUGAUUUAAUAUGUAAGUGGCCUUUUCAAACUAAUCAAGAAGUGUUUCCCAAUCCCGAUACCUGAGCUAUUUACUUACAUAGUGCAGGUUUUAUAAGUCACUAAUGCUGUCAACGUGAGGGGAUGACAUGUUUACACAGUCAUGGCCCUCACUUAGAAUUUACCCAGAUGUGC